rnacentral:rRNA from 1 species
GCAGCAGCCGCGGUAAUACGUAGGUGGCAAGCGUUGUCCGGAAUUAUUGGGCGUAAAGGGCUCGCAGGCGGUUUCUUAAGUCUGAUGUGAAAGCCCCCGGCUCAACCGGGGAGGGUCAUUGGAAAUUGGGAAACUUGAGUGCAGAAGAGGAGAGUGGAAUUCCACGUGUAGCGGUGAAAUGCGUAGAGAUGUGGAGGAACACCAGUGGCGAAGGCGACUCUCUGGUCUGUAACUGACGCUGAGGAGCGAAAGCGUGGGGAGCGAACAGGAUUAGAUACCCGUGUAGUCCCUGUCUCUUAUAC